GCGGGUGUAGCUCAGUGGUAGAGUGCAUGCUUCUAAUGCAUGGGGUCCUGGGUUCAAUCCCCAGUUUCUCUA
rnacentral:tRNA from 1 species